rnacentral:rRNA from 1 species
ACGCUCGACACCUAGAGGCAGCAGUAGGGAAUCUUCCACAAUGGACGCAAGUCUGAUGGAGCAACGCCGCGUGAGUGAAGAAGGUUUUCGGAUCGUAAAGCUCUGUUGUUGGUGAAGAAGGAUAGAGGUAGUAACUGGCCUUUAUUUGACGGUAAUCAACCAGAAAGUCACGGCUAACUACGUGCUAGCAGCCGCGGUAAUCUGAGCGGGCUGGCAAGGC